rnacentral:rRNA from 1 species
GAGUUUGAUCCUGGCUCAGAGCGAACGCUGGCGGCAGGCCUAACACAUGCAAGUCGAGCGCUCGUAGCAAUACGAGAGCGGCAGACGGGAGAGUAACACGUGGGAACGUGCCCUUCGGUUCGGAAUAACUCAGGGAAACUUGAGCUAAUACCGGAUACGCCCUAACGGGGAAAGAUUUAUUGCCGAAGGAGCGGCCCGCGUCGGAUUAGCUAGUUGGUGAGGUAAUGGCUCACCAAGGCAACGAUCCGUAGCUGGUCUAAGAGGAUGAUCAGCCUCACGUGGGACUGAGACACGGCCCAGACUCCUACGGGA